rnacentral:rRNA from 1 species
AUACGUAGGGUGCAAGCGUUAAUCGGAAUUACUGGGCGUAAAGCGUGCGCAGGCGGUUUUGUAAAAAAGAGGGGAAAUCCCCGGGCUCAACCCGGGAACUGCCUUUGUGACUGCAAGGCUAGAGUACGGCAGAGGGGGAUGGAAUUUCGCGUGUAGCAGUGAAAUGCGUAGAUAUGCGGAGGAACACCGAUGGCGAAGGCAAUCCCCUGGGCCUGUACUGACGCUCAUGCACGAAAGCGUGGGGAGCAAACAGGAUUAGAUACCCUGGUAGUCCACGCCCUAAACGAUGUCAACUGGUUGUUGGGUCUUCAUUGACUCAGUAACGAAGCUAACGCGUGAAGUUGACCGCCUGGGGAGUACGGCCGCAAGGUUGAAACUCAAAUGAAUUGGCGGGG